GCCCUCCUAGCUCAAUCGGAAGAGCGUGGGACUUUUAUGAGCGUUCAAAGCUUGAUAAGAACAUCCCAAGGUCGUGAGUUCGAGCCUCACGGAGGGCG